GGGAAAUUGGUCUAGUGGUAUGAUUCUCGAUUCGGGUUCGAGAGGUCUCGGGUUCAAUUCCCGAAUUUCCCC
rnacentral:tRNA from 1 species